GGCCCCGCUCGGCCCCGCUCGGCCCCGCUCGGCCCCGCUCGGCCCGCCCCGUGACGCAGCUCGGUGCGACUGGGGACGCGCGACACGGGGCCGGGACAGGUCCCGCCGCAGGCCCCGAGAGAAGCGCUGCUUUUUCACAGAAUUCCUCUUACUCUGCACAUUCCCUUGAAAACUUAGGAUCAUUUUUUUUGAUGCAACCCCUUCCCAAGAACUAAACCAACUGAUCGAAUUGGUGAGACUCACCAGAAAUGCGCCAGUCCGGGAAGCAGCGUGUGGCAGGAGCAGCACGGCAUCGCUCCCAGCGGCACACGAGCGCUCCGUGCUCUUAUCUCCACCAUCCCAGCCUGGUAAUUUGAUGGUGGAUCACCAAGAGCGCCCGUUUGGAAGCACAGCCUGACCGUGAGCAGAAGGGAGAGGGUGUGGGGAUCCGGGCUAAGGGAGCAGGACAGCCUGACCCGCACAGGAGAAGCUGCUCAUUAAAAAAUCAAAGCCCUCUGCUGAGCAGAGCUGCCAGUGGUAGGGUAAGGCAGCUCCUCGCUUUCCCCAUCCAUGCAGGUUUUGCAACCUGCAUUCCUUAUUGUUUAAACACACAAAACGUCCCAGGAUGUUGCCGAAACAACUGAAUUCUGGAAAAGUGAGAGGAGAAAUCCAGGAGAUGGAAGAUUCCACGGUUGGGGAUUUAACGUUACCCCUGACCUGACAGCGUGGGCAUUGGAGAGGGAAAUUCCAACGGAACGGCAGCAUCGCUCCCACAUGGGAACGCGAGUGUGGCACCCGCACGUGCCCGGCCUCGCCGAAAGCACCUACAGGCACGAGAAACCUCGCGGGAGGUGGGCUGCCAACAGCUUUUAGCCUGAAGCUGGAAAAUUUACAUUAUUCCCCAAAUCCCAGGGUAUUUUGGGGUGAGGGCGAUGCCUCCCAUCAGCCAGACCACCCUGCAGGGAUGGCGUGAGCUUGCCGGGAUCAGUGUUUGGGGUACUCACCCAGUUCACAGCUGGGCGAGCUCUGCUGGAGGGUGUAUUUCUUGGGCAUGGUGUUCCUGCUUCUUGCUGUCGGUGGUUUCUGGGAGCAGAGAGCCGGUCAGCCUUCCCCUAUAUAAGAUGUCCCCACCCUUCCCUGCUGGCUCCCCUCCCUCCUUCCUCCACCCGCAGCACCCACGCGGAUCCAGCGGUGCCGAGUUCCCCCGGGGGAGCUCGGGAGACAAUUCAAAGUCUCCCGAAAACAACCGCAUCUGCUUCAGCCUUAUCGUUUAUUAAAGAACGAUAAACCCCGCUGAGUUAAGGGGGUUAAUAGGACAGCUGAAGGCUUUGAUGUACAGCCUUGUCCCGUCCCCGUGGCGGUGACAGCAUCGCUUGCGGGGGGGAAGGUGGGUUCCACGCUGCCUGUGGCACUUUAUCAACCCAGGAGGCUCAAUUAAAAGUCUGCUUGAUCGAGCA